rnacentral:rRNA from 1 species
AACGUAGGUGGCGAGCGUUAUCCGGAAUUACUGGGCGUAAAGCGUGUGCAGGCGGGCUAGCAAGUGGGGUAUGAAAGCCCCCGGCUCAACUGGGGAGGGUCACGCGAUACUGAUCGACUCGAAGGCAGGAGAGGGUAGUGGAAUUCCCGGUGUAGUGGUGAAAUGCGUAGAUAUCGGGAGGAACACCAGUGGCGAAGGCGACUACCUGGCCUGUUUCUUGACGCUGAGGCGCGAAAGCUAGGGGAGCAAACGGG